rnacentral:lncRNA from 1 species
GGGGUGCAUCUUUAACUCUAUUUAUUUUCCAGUUUCUUGUAUUACAAGACAUGGGGUUAUGCAGUAUGUUUGACUUCUAACGUAUGAACAAAGAUGACAAAACCUAGCAACUUGUGAAUAAUGGACCCAAGACUCACGGUUAGGCAUCUCGAGGCUACAUAAUUUAAUUUGGGCAAUGAAAUGCAUAGUAUGACAUACUUGUUUCUUACCAUUUUUUGUUAUAUUUUAUGGAAAAAUUGCCAAAUAUGACUCACAACUUGAUUACAAAUGCAAAAGUAAACCCAAACUUGAAUCAAAUGCAAAAGUAACCUAAAAGACUAUUGAAAUUACAACCAGUCUCUUGUGAACAAACAAAAAAACCAAUUUUUUUU